UGGAUUUGGUUCCCUGCCGAAGAGGGUAGGGAUUAAAAGGGAAUCAGGUGAGAGUCCUGAACAGUCCCGCUGCUGUAACCUCUGUUAUAGCACCAUCAGACAAAACCACUGUUCUGCCCUUGUGGGCAUUGCGGGAAGGUGAUGGUAAGCUUGAGGAAGUCAGAAGACCUGCCAAUAUCAUC
rnacentral:ncRNA from 1 species